UAAGUCCCGCAACGAGCGCAACCCUUGCCUUUAGUUGCCAUCAGGUCAAGCUGGGGACUCUAGAGGAACUGCCUGCGCAAGCAGAGAGGAAGGAGGGGACGAUGUCAAGUCAUCAUGGCCCUUACGCCCAGGGCUACACACGUGCUACAAUGGCAUCUACAGUGGGCAGCUAUCACGCGAGUGUGAGCUAAUCUCCAAAAGAUGUCUCAGUUCGGAUUGUUCUCUGCAACUCGAGAGCAUGAAGGCGGAAUCGCUAGUAA
rnacentral:rRNA from 1 species